GUGCCAGCAGCCGCGGUAAGACGUAGGGGGCGAGCGUUGUCCGGAUUUAUUGGGCGUAAAGCGCGCGUAGGCGGCCGCUCAAGUCGGGUGUGAAAACCCGGGGCUCAACCCCGGGCCUGCAUUCGAUACUGGGUGGCUAGAGGCAGGCAGGGGAGAGUGGAAUUCCUGGUGUAGCGGUGAAAUGCGCAGAUAUCAGGAGGAACACCGGUGGCGAAGGCGGCUCUCUGGGCCUGUCCUGACGCUCAGGCGCGAAAGCUAGGGGAGCAAACAGGAUUAGAAACCCGCGUAGUCC
rnacentral:rRNA from 1 species